rnacentral:lncRNA from 1 species
GGUAUGAUAAAAGCAGCAAAGAAAACUGCUUUGAAAGAAUCCCUUUGAAGCAGAAAUCAAAACAUGGAUACUUCCAGAAAUUAAUUAUGAAUAUUUGGGUACUAAUGUGGCAACAGUAUUCAUACAGAAGAUAAUCCAUUCACAUGAAGAAGGGUGAACAGAAUACGGUUCUUUCCCUCCUCCCCCGUCUGAACAUGAUCAAAGCCUUCCUGUGGGUUUGCCAAGUCAGUGGAAGCAGAUGACAGUCAAUAAUGGAAAGAGGAGGUGGCAUUUUUAAAUACAGUGGCUGCACAUGAAAAGUGUGAUGAACAGACAAAAGUGGUUUGCAUUUAUAUCACAUGAGCUGCAAAAACUUGAUGCAACCCUGUGAAUAACUUCAAUAAUAUAAAGUUUCUAGAAUGAACUCUAAUGUAUACUGUGGGGUCCUACCUAUGUUCACUCAUCCCCCAUUAAAAUGCGAGGAGGCUGCAUUGUCACUCAGCCACCAGGUACGCUUCCCAAGGCAAUCUCUAGUUUCCUAGACAAAGGGGCUGAAGGAAGCAAAGUGAAAGGCUCACUCUUUUGGGCUCCACUCCCUCUGAUCACCUCCAUCGUUCCUGUAAUAACACUGGGGUGGUGGUGGAGUCCCCUAUUUCCCAAUGAGAGCAGCACCCAGUGUCAGAAGAGGAAACAAAUGUCAUGUAUUUCUUUUGGUUUUGCUACCGCUUAACUUAUUGUGAUAUUAACACUUUGAAAUAGGGAGUUGGAUGCUGGAAGGGCCCAAAGGAGUGCAAAAGUGUCAGACUUUCCAAGUGUCGCUAUUUUCCUUAGAUGUCCCUGAUUUAUAGAAGCUCUCCCAGUUUCUGAUUUGAUCCCAGAAUAUCCUGCUUUUCCUUUGGAUGUCCCUAUUUUCAUUGGAGAAAUGUUGGAGGGUAUGGAGUUAUCCAACCCCCCAAGCUGUCUGAAGGCAAUCCUGUAUAGGGAAGGAUUUUUUUUAAUGUUUAAUGUUUUUAUAUAUGUUGGAAGCUGCCCAGAGUGGCUAGGGUAUACAGUAAAAUGGUCAUCAUGGAAUGGGACGUCCCUAUUUUCAUCGGAGAAAUGUUGGCGGGUAUGAAGUGUCAUCCUCUGCUGUUGCUAGGUGCUUCUCUAAUAAGGAAAUGGGAGAUCAACCCAGUAGUUUCUGCUUCAUCUUAGGGGCCUCUGGGACCAUUUCCCAUUUUUCAACAAGAGCAAUGUCCCACUGUCCUAGUCCCACUGCCUUUUCCAGACAUUUGGGGGCUGUGCAGAGCUGGCUGGUUUCUGUGGGGGAGCAGAAACAGGCUAACUCCUCUCACUCUAUUCAGCGAUGGACAUUGACAGAUACCUAGAAAUGCCAAACACUAAUGCCAGGCCCAAGGUACACAGGCAUGACAUGAAUCAAAAGAGUGAUAAUGACCAUGCUCAGAUCAAACUCUGACCUGGUAGGGUGAAAUGACGGGCAGAGCUAAAGGACAGACAUUUUAAUGGCUCAUUUACCUAUGCCGGAGUCGCCGGAGUGGUGCCUGCAUUCUGAGCUGUUCCCACCGGUGCCUCCUAUAGCACCCAUGAAAGGGCUCAGUAAAUGCUCCCUCCAAAAUCCAUAGCACAUGAAUGACUGUUUGCUCUUCCUGAUCAGCUCCUGCUAGCACUGGCUCCGUCUGUCUGAUAUCAGACACAUACCCUUAAACAUACCCACCACCUUUUAUGGAUGCCAGGAUGGGCAUUUUCAUCCCUAGAAUGUUUGUGCCAUGUGAAGAAGCCUAGAGCUUUAAUUCUUCACUGCACCAGGGCUCUGCAGUGGAAGAGCCAAGGGGAGUGAAGUGGAAAGGUGGACAUCUAGCAGGCAGGUGGCUCUCAAUUUGCAUUGAAGCCAACCAAUUGCAGGAGAGAUCUUAAAAAGCUUUUCCACAGCACUGACAGUAAUGUAAGAAUGUCUUCGUUGCCAUUGCAAUGGGGAAGUGUCAUCUGUCAGAACUGUUCUGUGUGGUGAAUACCCAGCAAAUUCUGGCUGCUUUCUCCUUCUAGCUAAGUUGUCAUCUGCCUACUUUAACAAUUUUCCGUGUGUACUGAUCUUGCAGACAGAAUUGCUUGUAUAUUUUUCUUGACGCUUGAGCUGCGAUUUGAUUAGAGAAUUAACAGUAACUCCAACCCAGCACCAGGAGGAUGCUGUCCUCCGACUUUCCUCUAAUGGAGAGGAAAGGAGAAGCAGACUUGCUGCAGGGAAUAGCUGACUCACUUAAAAAAACAGAAAAACAGGGAAAGAUGUAUGAUCUAGUGCUGCAGAGGGGAAAUAUGCAGCCUUCAAAAAAUUAACAGAAAUAAGAAUGAAUAUUACAACAGCAAAAUGUUCGCAAAAUGGCAGGAGGAAUGGGAAAAGCUUAGCUUAGUUUAAAAUUACUUUAACAAAGCUUACAAUGUGGUAGGAAUCAGGAAUUUUAAGCCACAUUCACUAUCACAAAUAUACAAGUGUUGUAAAAGUGUAGUCUCUAAAAAAUGGAAGAACCUCCCUGAGAAAAGGAACAUGAAUUCUGUGCAACGGGUGAGUCAGAACUGCACAUUUAAUGUGUAAAACACAGCCUUCUAUCUGGGCUUAGUUUCAAGAAGUAUCGCCCACAAAUUUGGUGUGUGUGGAUGGAUUGGUAGUAGCGCAGGAAUGAGUAUGUUACAAGUUUGACUGCAUUUUGCCAGGUCAAAGCCACAUGGUAGAACUUGGUUCUUCCUCUGUUUAAGCACUGAUAUUUCCUCGAUGGGAUGUACUCAAGCAUGGCGCUUGUCAACUAUCUUGAUAUAUUUUGCAAGUUCUUUUCUUAAUCUCCUCUAUUAUUUAUAAAUUUCAUUUCAUUUAUGAAUUGCUUCCCAUGUGGCAUCCUGAAGCGAUUUACAAUAUAAGCACAUAUAUAAAAGUGUUGCACACAUAAAAAAAAACAGUUAACACAAUUGUAUAUAUGCAAACAAUCAAAAUUAUAAAUAAAAAACAGUUUAAAACAACAAUAACACAUGUAUAAAAUCAUGUAAAUCCAUGACAGAUACCAACUGGGAUUAAGAUUUUAGAAGGCUUGUUGAAAGAGUAAUUUCCUUAGCAGGUGCUAAAAAAAUAAUAGAGAAGGUGCUUGUCUGUUGUGCAAAGGGAAGGCGCUCCAAAGGAAAGAGCCCAAUUCUGACAUCAUGCAGAACAGACCUUUCGGUAGGAUGGUCUCUGCAGGAUGCCCUUUCCUGCAGAAUGCCAUGUUUGACUGUCUAUAGGGGAUGCAGCCCCUUAGGUAUCCCGGUCCCAAGCUGUAUAGGGCUUUGUAUACCAAAACUAGCCCCUUGAACCUUACCCAGUAGCUAAUUGACAGCCAAUACAAAUCUUGGAGCAGUGGGGUCAGAGGAUGCUGAUAUUCUGCUCCAGUGAGCAAUGGAGCUCCCCACUUUACCCUAGUUGCAGCUUCCAAGUCAACCUCAAACGGCAGCCCCACACAAAGCACAUUGCAGCAAUCCAACCUAGAGCUCAAGUUGCCUGCGGGUGGAGCUUAACAGGAUCCCAGCAGCCUUUGCUUCCCACCCCCUUUCCUUUUCUCUCUGCUUCCUAGAACAAGCUGCAGCAAGACUCUCAUCUGCAGGAAAAGCCAAAUGAACUGGAUCUCUCCAAAAAUAGAUUUUCAUAGCCUGAUUUUGCUAACCCAAAGAUUGCAUGAUCUUUUUUGCAAGGAAACCAAGUCCUUUCUUUUGAAGCAUUUGGAAUCAUUUUAUCUUUGUUUUACUGCCAACAGAUGGAGACUUGUCUGCUGUAACUCCUGAAACUCUAUGAGUAAAAUCUUCACUUAUUUGCAAUACUAGGUGCUGGCGAUUUAUUCUAGCCUAAGUAUUUUUGUGGAGAAUGUUUGUUUAAAGGUGGAUGAGGGCAGAUGUAAAUCUAACCAAGUUUUAAUGUGCUUGGUAGCACUUGUCAUUGUGCUUAAUUCUGCUAUAAGAGAGUAAAGAAUCUCUCUUCCAAACCUCUCUCUCCAACAGCAUCAGGGACAGGAUGCUACCCCAGAGACCCCACAGCACAACUGCCAGGGGGCCAAGAGAUAACCACCCAACACUAUUAUUUGAAACCAACUCUGGAGACAGGACUUUAGUCACUACAAAACAGUGUCCCCAAUACCCGUCUUACACUGUUGGUUUGGGAGGCUACCCUAGUCCACUGGCGAAGCGCAUCUUCCCAGUGUCUGAGGUGGGCUUGUCCAGUUGUGCUGGGGGCGGGGCGGGGCACAGAGGGCAAUGUGAGGAGGGUCAGCAGGGUAGGCAAGCACCCUUCCAAUCCGCCCAAUCCAACUGAUGGGAAGGGCACAUGCCUAUUGCAUCCUCCUGAUGCCCUGGCAGCCCCACGCUGGCAAAGCAGCGCGGGGCUGGCAGGGGUGGUGUGAGGAGCAAAACGUGCCCUGGGAAAAACUGUGCCUGGGGCAACGGUCCCCUUCGCCCCUCCCAUGCUGUGCCUUUGCCUUGGUCAAUGGUAUCAAAAACCUCUGAAAGACCAAGUAAGAAUUGCAGGGUCAUAUUCUUCCUGUCCUCUCUACGAAGGCCAUCUAUCUGGGUGACCAAGGCCAAUUCAUUUCCAUGACCAGGCUUGAAUCCCUGUUGGAACGGGUCCAGAGAACUGGUUUCAUUGCAGCUGUUGCACCACAACCCUUCCAAUCCCAUGUCCUGGAAAUGGGGUAUUUGCGAGCCGGCAGUAGCAGCCACAAAGCCCUGGGUCCAGGGUUGGUUUUUUCAGGAGUGGUCAGAUCACCACCUCUUACAUAUCAUCUCUGUGUAUAUGAUGUCGUUGGACAAGAUCAGGAGGAACCUGGAAUUUGGGGCUGUUGUUAUACUGAUGGCACCUAUCUCUGCGCUCCAUUUCCUGUAGCCCCUGUCAUGCACUCUAUUUGUUCAGUGCCUGCUAUUGUUGAGGGAUGUGAGGCUAGAAAGCACAGGCAGCCUGGAAAAAGAGGAAGAGAAAAUGCAUAAGCCUUUCCUUAGCCUCCUGCUGGGUUAGGUGUUCUGAGGGCUCCUUGUGGGGAGCACUGUUGUCCAAAUUGGUCCUGACUGUGAUUGACAGGAUUCUGAGCUUUCGUGAUAACAACCGCAGUGACAUCCUCAAGUUGCAAUUUUGGAAAAAAAAGGCAUGCCGCUUCCAAUUCUUGUUACACAGGAUUUCUUCCCUCACUCCUCUUCAUAGCUUGGAAUGUUUGCCUUCUAUAGCCCUUGCACCCAGAUUUGCAAGGCAUGCAAAGACAGAAAAGAUUGGUUAGUUUGUGAGGAAGAAGGCUGUCAGAGCUUCAUGCUACAUCUGGUGCCUGCUGGGGUAGAGAUUUGUUACAAUUUGCAUGGAAAGGUCACAAGGGAGGAUGACAACUUCCCUUGUUUCACCUAACUUCCAACACUCCCAUUUUAUUUUUUAAAGGAAACACAUUGUAAGAGCUGCCUCACGAAUUCCUGGCAGGAAAUGUCAAUGCAUUCUGUAAAUUUUCAAAAAUGAUUAUUACACACUAGUGGUUUUUGAACAUCUAAAAUACCUACUUUAUACUGUGGCCAGGCCAGUCACAGGAUACGAUGUGCCUAUGCAGCCAAUCGCCUCUCGCAGCCCAAGCCCUGGUCUUUGAUUAUCUCUCUGCUUGCUAUAUGGAACUGACUAGGAUGCAGUUACAGUAUUGUGUAACAGAAGCAGCAGCUUUUAGAACUGCCUCUGUUCAAGGCCAGCCCUACCAUUCAGGCAGAGCGAGGCAGCUUCAGGUGGUGGAUGCUGAGUGGCAGGGAGUGGCAAGAGGGGCCACCUGGGCUAUCCUAUGCUCCCUAUGCUAGUCUGCUGCUCUCAGGUGCAGCGGAGGACCCUAGUAGAGGACCCUGUCGUGUCAACAGCACUGAAGUAAGAUUCAUCUGUCAGUGCACUCAGUUUCUGUAUGUGGAAUUUGGGGAGGGUUUUUUUCUAUCUUGCCCCUUGCUGCAAGCAGCAAAGUGUCUUGGAGCAGCCCUAGGCCUUUUAAGAAUAAAUACAUAGGAUGGAUUAUGUGCACGCCACCUUCGAGAGACCAUUCUUCCAACUGCUUUGCAAAGCUGUGCUGAAUGUGCAACAUCAGUGUGGGAUAAGCUCAUGCAUGGCAUCUGAAUGCAUCUGCAAAUACGGAUUUUAAGAUGCAAGACAUAUAAUAAGGUUCAUAUUGCUUCUGACCUUUGGCAAGGUCUUGGAAGUGUGUGAACAGUUAAUCACUGACCAUUCUGAAUAAUAAAGGUUAAGAUGUGGUAGCUAAUAGGUUUAAUUGAACAGAUGAGGGCUUGGAAGGGACAGUAAAAUAUUUAUCUCCAUUUGUAAAGGAAACAGAUUCUUGUCCAUUUUAAUCCAAAACACUAACCCGGUGAAUUCUGUGUUGAAUUAUUUUGUGCAAUCCCACUGAAAUCAAUGAGAUUAAGAUAGGGCAGUGAAAAAUCUUGGUGGAAUCCAGCACUCAGAGACGUGUGACACAAAAAAUACUGACGCACUUUAACUGCCUUCUGCACAAAGCACAUGUGAGCGUAUUGUGACUGGGCAGAGAAUUGUUUCCUUGGGCUUGCCUUAGCUGUAAUUAAAUUGAGGGAGGAGGGGAGAAGCCCUUUCAAGUGGAGAACAACAAUACAGCUCCUAGGGCAGAAAGUCAGCUAAUUCACUGACCUUGAUCUCACAUCCAUGUGCACUCCUGUCUCUGUGUGUUUCCAAUGUAGAUGGAGCAAUCCUCUGACUAAUUCUCCGUCUCUAUUGUGGGGCUUCUGCUGCUGCUGAGCUCAUGUUGUUGAUCUUGUUUUACAGCAGUCCUGCCUGUUGUGCAGAGAACAGAAUGUUCUCUUCUGUGAACUGAGGUUGAACUUAUCCAGCCCACUUUGUCUCAGGAACCACACACUUAUAGGGGAAAGAGAGGAGAGAGAUUGAUUUUGUUUUUAAUUUUAAAAAGUCAUAGGAUUUGGUUUCAUUUGAGCUAUUUAGGAUUUUGUUUCCUGUUUAUAUGAAAACACAAACACUUAAAAAUCUGAGCAAACAUGCUUUUAAAGGACAAACUGUUAAUGUAACCCUAGUUGCUUCACAGAAAUGGAAUAAGGAUUCUUGGAUUGUUUCUUUUUGGUAUCAAGGCAGAGCUGAGCAUUACAAAUUUGUUUUCCUUUCCUACAUUUCUCCUGUUAGAUGGCAUGCUUCCCUUCCAAAGCUGGGAUUUCAAACUAAACUCACAUUCAGGAGUAAACGGGUAGAGUGGGGAGCCUAGCCUCUGUUUAAGCCCUAUUGAGUGCAGUGACAGCAAAACUGGGAUACAGAGAUUCAGAACAUCAUCCUGCUUAUUUUGGGUUCAUCAAAACAAUGUAUGACUUUAAGAAGUGGUUUGCAGUGCAGGCGAUUUCUUUGGCUGGCUUAUCCAUAUUAUGAAAAAACAGUGUGCACUGCAGAAGAGCAAUGAUAUCAUCCGUUUGCUGCUCUAGCAAGUUGCUAGGGAAGCAUCAGAAUUUCACAGGAGCACUGGAGUCCAAAAGAUGCACCUCCGAAAGCUGGCAUAUUUUGCAUUAUAUUGUGACCAAAAGGAUACUUCAGUAUCACAUAUUAAAGAGUUUUUCAUUUUGAAUAAGAAACUUUAUUAUUAUGGUCAUUUUUCAUAAAGAAUGGUUAUUGACAUGUGCAUAUGAAAUGCAGUAAGAAUAAUGAAUGU